UGUAAUCGGUUACAAAAUAAUUUUUGGGUUCUGUGAAAAUAUUAGAGUUUACAGUGUAUGUAGAAAUUUCCAACGUUCUUUUAGAGGAAGGUUUUCCUGUGGCUCCACCCACUGAUGAUGAGGUGAACCAAUCAGAUUGUUGUUGUGUUCAUGGUGAUGUUGAGGAGAAGGGCUGUGCAGCAGAGAGGCUGCUUCAUUCUGCUGCAGUGGAAGAACAUUGUUCAUCUGCUGUCUGACUAACCCCACCUCUAACCCUAAGACAACAACUAAAGACAUGUUGCUUUACCUCUUUUUACUUUGCUCUCAUAUCAUAGAGUGUAAAGGAGAAGACAACGUGAUCCAGAUACCAGGAGAUGUCAUUGCUACUGAAGGAGACACUCUCACACUCAGCUGCACUUUUGAGACUAACAUUAACUUUGGUGCCUAUUUGUUCUGGUAUAAACAAGAAGUGAAUAGUUUCCCAAAAUAUGUUUUACGGCGUGAUACAACAGGAACAGAAGACAAUGCUCAAGGUUUCCCUAAAGACAGAUUUGAUGCUGAGCUCAAAGACAAAUCAGUUCCUCUGAAGAUCCAGAAGCUUCAUGUGUCUGACUCUGCUGUGUACUACUGUGCUCUGAGGCCCACAGUGACAGGAAACACCAAAACUCUGAACAAAAACCUUUGGAGCAAAGACAACACAAUACUCCACAACAUCCACUAGAGGGAGCCACACUCUGUUCAACUUCUAUGGUUGGUUAGGA